GUAGUCCACGCCGUAAACGAUGAUCACUAGAUGUUGGUCGUGCUUAGCAUGAUCGGUGUCGUAGCUAACGCGUUAAGUGAUCCGCCUGGGAAGUACGGUCGCAAGAUUAAAACUCAAAGGAAUUGACGGGGGUCCGCACAAGCGGUGGAACAUGUGGUUUAAUUCGACACUACGCGAGAAACCUUACCUGGGCUUGACAUGUAACUGCUACUGAUAGAAAUAUUGGGUUCUGUAGCAAUACAGACGGUUACACAGGUGCUGCAUGGCUGUCGUCAGCUCGUGUCGUGAGACGUCGGGUUAAGUCCUUGAACGAGCGCAACCCUUGCCGUUAGUUGCCUGUCGUAAGGCGGCACUCUAGCGGGACUGCCGUGGAAACACGGA
rnacentral:rRNA from 1 species